rnacentral:lncRNA from 1 species
GUCUUUCGUGGAUCACUCUAGGAGGUGGUCGUCGGUAGAGCACACUACAUGCCUAGCACUCAUGCCUCCAACAGGAUCCUCUCCGGAUAUUUUCGGUGAGGAUUCGUGAAUCGUGUCCGUUCAUCGUAUAUCAUACGGUCAGUUUUUGUUAAGUACUGUUUGUGUUUAAUUUUAAAUAAAAAUAUUUAAAAUAAUUUAUAACUGCAUGAUGUAGGACAAGAUUGAUGAAUAUCCGAAAUCCUCACAAAGAGGAUCCGAAUUCCUCAUGCCUAAUAGCAUUCUGGUAUGUUGGUCUAAGUAGAGCACCUUUCUCUAGUGGUCUCGGUAGAGCAACUUGGCCGGCACUGGAUGCCCAACAAUCUGCCCAGCACUGCAUGCCUAGCACUCAAGAGAUAACCUAUCAAUGCCAAAGAGUUGGUCCUCUUAAUUCCUGAGGUCUUUCGCCCUCCCUUCCUCCUUUGGGUCCUAGUCUUCUCUUCUUUCCUUGGUCCUUGGUCCUUAGGGCUGGUUUGGUAUUGCUGUGCUUUGAAAAAAAGCUGCUGUGAGAAUAAGCGGCUGUGCUGUGAGAAUAAGCGGCUGUGAAAUAAAUCAGCAGAGCGUUUGGUAAACUUUUUUGUAAAAGUGCUUUUGGAAAAAAAAAGCAGUCUGAUAGUGGGUCUUUUCAUUAAAGGAGCACUAUAGCUCCGUGUGCUUUGAAAAAAAGCCAAUUUUCCAAAGCUGCAAAUAGCAGCUUCAGCUUUUUCCUUUGAUUUCAGCUUAUUCUCACAGCAGCUUCCAAAAUAAGCUAUUUUUUUUCAGUUUACCAAACACCUAAAACCCUCAUAGUUUUUUUUCACAGGUGCUUUUUUUUUAAGCACCUCACUCCCAAACUAGGUCUUACUCGGGCCUUUUCUUAGGCUGCAUCGUUUCGAGGGGCCGAAAAGGACCAUGCAUUAACACAUUGCUUUACUUAUAUUUUGUUUUUGUUUUUCAUUCUUUUUUUUAAACAAAUUUUUUUGAACAUAAUGGAUGACUUAUUAUAUGAGGGUGGUGCACACUCACGACUUCAUUUUUCUAUUUUGUAAAAUGUUUGCACCCCAUUGGGCAUUGGACUCCUCGUCAGCAGUUUAUUAGUGGUUUAAGGACGGAUUAACUAGAGUAAUCAUAUUCAUUGGGAAAAUAUUAAUAGAGUAAUUCAUGAACAUUUGAUGGGUAAUGCUUUAGUACCAAAAACUACUUGUUACAAAAGCAAUGUCAAACUGUAGUCAUGGACCACCUACAUUAUCUUGUAUCCAAGAUAUUGGGCUUUAUUAUGGACUAUGGCCAUCACCAUUGAUUUGCAACAAAAAGAAAAAGCCCACUUACUAUAGUGGCAUGGGGCUCACUACCUAACCCAAUAGCCUACACCAACCCCCCCCCCCCCGCCGCAUCCGUUUUUCGUCCGGCGCCUCCCACGCAACCACCACUCACUCAGUGGCCUGGCGAGCACCCAAAGCAUCGCAGCGUCACGCAGAGCCCUAGCUGCACAGACCACGUUUUCAAAUCGCGCCGCUCAUAGUCCGUUCUCUCCUCUCUCCCUCUCUCUGUAACGUUUUAACCUUAUGAGGCCUUCACCCACCAAUCUGAUUCCACGUAUGGCGGCCAAAACGCACACACGUUGUCGUGAGAGGGUCCCAGUUUUAGAGAAAAUUGCAUGCAAAGCCAGGCGUCUGAUUGGUGGGUGUACCGAGCCUUAUACCCAGCACAGAAAAAUGGACCCAACCGAAGUCCUACAUGGCAUAUUUCCUUGAAUGCCUCGAUUG